rnacentral:lncRNA from 1 species
CAAAAGGAGCUGAGCCUAUUUGUGUUGUCCCCACACCAAGUCAGCUUCUGACAGCUGCCAGACUCCUCCAUGAGAAUAAACAGCAUGCUCCCGAAGCCAGUGCUUUGCCUGCGCAGUUUCAGCAGUGGCUACUCGCACUAAAACCCAACGUUUUGUAAAGAUUAUAGCUCUGUACUGCAAGAGCUGGAGAAGCACUGGGCGCUGCAGGCGGCCUCAGUCAGCUGCGUGGAAAACCCAAGCGCUCAGACACACGUCAGGUAUGCAGUGCGUUGAGAAAACGCUGCAGUUUGACACGCUUGACCUCAUAGCUGAGAUUUUUUUAGGUAAUUGUGUUUAACAAUGAAAACGUGACAUUAUUCUUGGGGCGCGGCUUUGAAGGAAUGCUUGCACAAGUGCUGACAGCGCUGUGGCAGGUACAAAAGCUGACUCAGACCUUAAAAGCUCAGAUUCAUAACACUUCUGCACGUCCCGACUCAUCUGACAGUUGGUUUUGUGCACUUGUGACAACAGCUCGUGGAAGCUCUCCAGAGACCUGACUCCAGGUGCAGCAGCACAACGCCAAUCACUGGGCACACAGACCAGGAGGAUUUCCACUCCCUCCCAGUUGCUCCAUUCAUCUGCAGACACUGCAUCAUUUCUCAGAUGCUAUUUAGAGUACAACCACACAAACAAUUCUGUCAGCACAACUGGAGGUGCAGGAGCUCCUCAAGGCCCAGAACGUGCCUGCUCUGUUCCAGAGGACAGAAGAUUGGGUUUUUCUUCACCCACCUGCACCCAGGAAGAAGUCGUCCUGCAGAACCACGCUGAGAUAAUAUAAUAAACAGAAAACAGUUUACGUGACACACACCUGAAAAGCAACCAAAACAAUCUCAAGCUGUGUAUAGGAAUACGGGAGACAGAAUAGUGGAACAAGUUCUGAACCACAACAUUUGUUGUGGAAGACAAAAGACAAAAAAGGCUCCACAAAGAGCCCACGUUCUGCUUUUUUUCCCCAAAAACAAAAUCAUUCUCCUGAGCCCAAGCCUUCCAACACUUAUAGCAACAGGGGAGAUGUGAUGAAAAGCCAUUCUUGCUACGUAACCACUCUUUUCUAAAGACAGUUCCAGAAGUGUUUUGACCCAUUUUCAAAACUUGUGAAGGAAUCAAAGAACAUCCUGAAGGGUCUAAGUAGAACUUCAGCAUUCCAGCAUAUCCUCCAAUAAAAUAACAAUUCCAAAAUCCGUUAUCCA